AUUGAACGCUGGCGGCAUGCCUUACACAUGCAAGUCGAACGGCAGCAUGAUCUAGCUUGCUAGAUUGAUGGCGAGUGGCGAACGGGUGAGUAAUACAUCGGAACGUGCCCUGUAGUGGGGGAUAACUAGUCGAAAGAUUAGCUAAUACCGCAUACGACCUGAGGGUGAAAGUGGGGGACCGCAAGGCCCCAUGCUAUAGGAUCGGCCGAUGUCUGAUUAGCUAGUUGGUGAGGUAAGGGCUCACCAAGGCGACGAUCAGUAGCUGGUCUGAGAGGAAGAUCAGCCACACUGGGACUGAGACACGGCCCAGACUCCUACGGGAGGCAGCAGUGGGGAAUUUUGGACAAUGGGGGCAACCCUGAUCCAGCAAUGCCGCGUGUGUGAAGAAGGCCUUCGGGUUGUAAAGCACUUUUGUCCGGAAAGAAAUCGCACUUACUAAUAUUAGGUGUGGAUGACGGUACCGGAAGAAUAAGGACCGGCUAACUACGUGCCAGCCGCCGCAGUAACAC
rnacentral:rRNA from 1 species